CCCAGGGGUGCUUUACCAUUGAGCUACAUCCCCAGCCUUUUUAAAUUUUUCUAUUUUUAUUUAUUUUGUACUGGGGAUUGAACCCAAUGGUGCUUUUACCACUGAGCAACAUCCCCAGCACUUUUUAUAUUUAAUAUUGAGACAGAGUCUUGCUAAGUUGUUUGGACCUCGAUAAAUUUCUGAGGCUGGCUUUGAACUGUAGAUCUUCCUGCUUUAACUUCUUGAAGCAGGCAUGCACCACUCUGCUUGGCUCUAUCCUUUUUAUUUUUUUGAGACGGGGUCUUGCUAAGUAAGCAGAGCCUCCCUUAUUUGCUGAGGCUGGCCUUGAACUUGCACUCCUCUUUCCUCAGCUUGCUGAAUUGCUGGGGUUACAGGUGUGCACAACUUUGCUUGCCUAGGAAAAACAUUUUUAUUAGUGGGCAAAUACUGAGAACUUAUUGAGCAUUUAAUGGUAUGGAAAAUACAGAGAAUUAAAUUAUUCUGCACUUACAUUGAGAGGGCUUCCCACCAAGCUGAGGGAUAAGUCAGAUACUAUGCCUUUUAAGGAAAGGAAAAAAAGUUUUAGGAGCCACAUAUAAGAAAUGUUAAAAAAAAAAGGUUCUGUUACAUCAGAGGGUAAUGAAAUGUACAAACUAAUAGAAAAAUAAUACAACUCCAGUCUUUGUCUAAGAUAAAUGUAUAUUGAGCACCUGUUGCCUACACUAUACUAAGAGUUGUAAGUAAAAACCAACCACACUUAAGCCAUCAAGGGAAGAAAAGUCAGAGACUUAUCAGAUAAAGGAAUUCUAACCCUCCAGAAUAAGUCAAGAAAGUCAAUGGCUUAGAGCAGAGAGGGAGUCUGGGGCAUCCUUUGUACAGUGGCAUGUUGAGGAUAGAGGGAUUUCCAACCUUUUUUCCUUUAAGUCUGAAGUUGCUCAAUGUGAUACAGGGGGCUUUUAGUCACACAGGCCUGGUGAGAACUUGAAACAUGGCUAGUGCCACUGAGUAACUUUGUAGUUACUUUUAAAUUUUUCUAGCAUUAUUAUUGGUGCUGGGGAUUGAACCCAGGGCCUUGUGU
rnacentral:lncRNA from 1 species